rnacentral:rRNA from 1 species
CGAAAAAGUACUAUCAAUUAAAUAAAAAUAGGUGAAACAAAAGAAUAAGCGAAGAAGAAGCAAAUGCGCUUCACGCUAAUUCCAAGUACCAACACAAAACAAAUUCAAUGUUUGGUGAAGCAACUUGCUUAGUGGCGGACGGGUGAGUAACGCGUGAACAGUCUGCCCCGUACAAAGGGAUAGCCUCGGGAAACCGGGAUUAAAACCAUAUAACACUUAACUGCCGCAUGGUAGUGAAGUCAAAUCGAGUAAGAGGUAUGGGAUGAGUUCGCGUCUGAUUAGCUAGUUGGUGAGGUAAGGGCUCACCAAGGCGACGAUCAGUAGCCGGCCUGAGAGGGUGAACGGCCACACUGGAACUGAGACACGGUCCAGACUCCUACGGGAGGCAGCAGUGGGGAAUAUUGCACAAUGGAGGGAACUCUGAUGCAGCGACGCCGCGUGAGUGAAGAAGGUCUUCGGAUCGUAAAACUCUGUCCUUGGUGAAGAAAAGGACGGUAGCCAAGGAGGAAGCCCCGGCUAACUACGUG